CGGGACGGGUGGGUAAUGUCUGGGAAACGUGCCUGAUGGAGGGGGGUAACUACUGGAAACGGUAGCUAAUACCGCAUAACGUCGCAAGACCAAAGAGGGGGACCUUCGGGCCUCUUGCCAUCGGAUGUGCCCAGAUGGGAUUAGCUAGUAGGUGGGGUAACGGCUCACCUAGGCGACGAUCCCUAGCUGGUCUGAGAGGAUGACCAGCCACACUGGAACUGAGACACGGUCCAG
rnacentral:rRNA from 1 species